rnacentral:miRNA from 1 species
AAAGUGCUUCCUUGUAGAGGG